CGCAGAGCCUGGUUCAGCCUUAGGCAGUGGCUUCCAAGGAAGGCCACUCCGACGUGUUUGAAAUCGGGUUCCUUCUCCGACCCACCGUAUUAUCCACAGGAUACGGGCUCAGGAAGAGGAGGUCUAGUUUGGUUUAGAAAUAUCACAAAGAAAAGAACACAUAUAUUACCACAACCCAGAGAAAAAGUUUAUUGACCUCUUGGCCCUAUAUGAUGAUUUCUUCCUCCUCCACCUGGCUGUGAACCAGGAAUGCACUGUUGAUCCUGUUUCAACCACAAGUGAAUGAUAAAAGAGACAACCUGGAAGAAAUCUUGAUCCUUAAAGAACCGCAAAGACCAAAGCGACCAUGCAGCUCUUCACUACUCACCACCUUAACUGUUAUAUGACCAGGAAAUCAAUUCUUACAUUCCUUAAAGCAGUACAUUUAGGGUUUAUUAUAGUCACUUAGCUUUACCAUGACUGAUACACUUUUUAGUCGCAUGCUUUACAAUAUCAUGUAUCUGCCGAUGCCUGGCUCAACUCAAGCAUUUGUGGUAGCAGAAAGUAGUCACAGACAAUAAAAAAAUGAAUGGACAAGA